rnacentral:rRNA from 1 species
UACGUAGGGGGCAAGCGUUGUCCGGAAUCAUUGGGCGUAAAGCGCGCGUAGGCGGCCCGGUAAGUCCGUUGUGAAAGUCAAAGGCUCAACCUUUGAACGCCGAUGGAUACUGCCGGGCUAGAGUCCGGAAGAGGCGAGUGGAAUUCCUGGUGUAGCGGUGGAAUGCGCAGAUAUCAGGAGGAACACCAAUGGCGAAGGCAGGUCUCUGGGCAUUAACUGACGCUGAGGAGCGAAAGCAUGGGGAGCGAACAGG